rnacentral:rRNA from 1 species
GUGCCAGCAGCCGCGGUAAGACGAACCGUCCAAACGUUAUUCGGAAUUAUUGGGCUUAAAGGGUGCGUAGGCUGUGCAGUAAGUUGGGUGUGAAAUCCCUCGGCUCAACCGAGGAACUGCGCCGAAUACUGCUGUGCUAGAGGAAGAUAGGGGUAAGCGGAACUGAUGGUGGAGCGGUGAAAUGCGUUGAUAUCAUCAGGAACACCGGUGGCGAAGGCGGCUUACUGGAUCUUUUCUGACGCUGAUGCACGAAAGCUAGGGGAGCGAACGGGAUUAGAUACCCUCGUAGUCC